rnacentral:rRNA from 1 species
GACGAACCGUGCGAACGUUGUUCGGAAUCACUGGGCUUAAAGGGCGCGUAGGCGGGUCACCAAGUCCGGGGUGAAAUCUUUCGGCUUAACCGGAAAAUAGCCUUGGAUACUGGCGAUCUGGAGGGUGGUAGGGGCAUGUGGAACUUCCGGUGGAGCGGUGAAAUGCGUUGAUAUCGGAAGGAACGCCGGUGGCGAAAGCGACGUGCUGGACCACUACUGACGCUGAGGCGCGAAAGCCAGGGGAGCAAACGGG